CGUGCGGGGACCCCCCGGGCCGUGCGGGGUCCCCCGGGCCGUGCAGGAGCGCGGGGGCGACAGGAAGCGGCGUUCGGGAAGGGCUCGGGGCUGCUGGCGCUGCGUCAGCCCGGUCCCCGCCGGACCGGUCCGGCCGGGUGCUGCUGCCGCGUCCCGGGCGAAGCCGCCGUCACCCAGUGCCCGAGUCAUCCAUGGGAUACGUCCCAGCCCACCUCGGGACCCCCAGGUGUGGGGAGCAGGAGGAUUCUGCCCCGGUGAGGAUGAGGAGGGAGCAUCCUGCACCCCCGCUGCCCGCACGGUUCCCUGCUACGUCUGGCAGCGAGCGCUGCCAGGCGGGGAUUCUCAGCUCCGAAGGGAGGUGAGAGACAGAGCUUCCACCGCCCCUGCAAGAAGAAGGGAAUUCAUGGCUGAGCGCCGAGCGGGAGAUCCGGAGCGCAGCGAGAGAGCUCUCGGCACAAGGAAAUGGGCGCACGGCACAGCACGGCACGACAUGGCAGGGCAGGGCAGAGCGCGGCUGAGGCGUCAGCCAGAAAUCUCAUUCACGCUCCCCUCUCGGUCAAGGUCGAGGGAAGCGCGACGAUGCCUCCACCAUGUAACCCAUCGCUUCCUGCAGCCUCGCUCCUGCAUCCCACCUCCAUGUCCCCAGCCAGUCACUCUGCAUCCCACCUCUGCAGCCCUGGCACUGCCCCGCACUCCCAGGCGUGAUGGAUGCAGCCUGCACAUCCAGCGGCUCAGCAGGGCCUCUCCUACCCUGAGCUCCUGGAUCCCACAGCAGCAGUACAUGGACGGUGGAGGCAGCCAUGAAAAGACCAGUCUGGAUUUUAUUAAAAGUUCAGCACCAGUAAAUAUAUAAAAAGAGCAACUGUGCAA